rnacentral:pre_miRNA from 1 species
AAUGGAAUUGCUGGGUCAUAUGGUUACUGCUUAUAUUUUUGAUAAACUGCCAAACUCUUUUGCACAGUAGCUGUACCAUUUCACACUCCUACCAGCAGC